rnacentral:lncRNA from 1 species
UGGAGAGACGGAGCCUCACCCAGCCUCUUAGGCGACAGCAGCUUCUCAGGGCCCAGCUCCGCACUCAGCAUGGCCCGGGCCCGGCUCAGCGCCUGACGGAUGCCCUGCAGCUCCUGGGGCUCGGGCCCAGCCCGCACCUGGGUCAGUAGGUCCUGCACCAGCUGGCCCGCGGCUGUGUGUCGGUCCUGCAUCAGUGCUGCCGCAGCCCGGCCCACCUGCCGCUCCGGUGCCAGUAGGGAGCAGAAGGCGGCGCUCAUGGACCGAAGCAGAGGUCGUCGGCGGCCCAGGAGGAGACGCCUGAGAGAGGAGGGAAGUGAGGUGCCCAGUAGUGAAGCUGGACGGGCUGGGGGCUCCAGGAGAGCCCGCGCCUGACUCUCCAGGGCUUUCCAUGGCUGGGAGCUCCUUCGCUUCAGGAAGAGAAUCCAGUCCCAAGGCAAGGCACGCACAUCCCCAGGAUGGGUUUCACCAUGUUGCCCAAGCUGGUCUCGAAAAGAACUCCUGGGCCCGAGCAAUCUACCCGCCUUGGCCUCCCAAAGUGCUGGGACUG